UUGAGUUGGACUAAAAAACAGAGUCAGGAUCGGAGCAUGCUUCAGCCAAGACCUAAAAGGAUGGUCCUUAGUGUUUCUCUCUCUGAGCUCCAGGCUCUGCACUCCUGUAUCUCCUGCCCUGUUGCACUGCAUGUGGCAAGACUGUGAUUCCCAGUUCUCUCCCAGCCCCCUUUGCUUGCACCCCUGCCUUUCAGGGUCCCUAGUGGCCCUGCCAGCUACCCUCCAGUCCCCAAAACCCUCGUCGAACUGCACCCCCUUCGGGUUACUCCGCCCUGGCAGUUUUGUCCUGGAUGACCUCCGCCGCUAUUCUGUGGACCUACGCUACACGGUCUUUCAGACCACAGGCUCCGUCCCCAUCGCCACGGUCAUCAUCAACGAGGCCAGUGGUAGCCGCACCAUCCUAUACUAUGACAGGAGCCUGCCAGAUGUGUCUGCUACGGACUUUGAGAAGGUUGAUCUGACCCAGUUCAAGUGGAUCCACAUUGAGGGCCGGAACGCAUCGGAGCAGGUGAAGAUGCUGCAGCGGAUAGACACACACAACACCAGGCAGCCU
rnacentral:sRNA from 1 species